UCAAGCAGGAUCCAUCUUUUCUAAUGCAAGUCCUCUGUAGGCAGUAAGUCUUCAGCAGAGAAGUAAAAAGAAUGGUUAGAAAUGAAACCUGGAAGUCCAGACAAUUGGGCUAUUUGAAGCUUGAGUCCACUUAGUCCCGUGCCACCUGCAGACCAAUGUUUUACCUUCCAGAAGCCUUCUUACUUCGUGGACUGAAA